rnacentral:piRNA from 1 species
UGGAAUGUUCCCACUCUUUCCAACCCGCUA